rnacentral:rRNA from 1 species
UUGCUCUCUGAGCGUUAACUACAUCCAUCUACACCUGUGAACUGUUGAUCAACUUCGGUUGAUUGCUUUUACAAACAUUGUGUAAUGAACGUCAUGUUAUUAUAACAAAAAUAACUUUCAACAACGGAUCUCUUGGCUCUCGCAUCGAUGAAGAACGCAGCGAAAUGCGAUAAGUAAUGUGAAUUGCAGAAUUCAGUGAAUCAUCGAAUCUUUGAACGCACCUUGCGCUCUCUGGUAUUCCGGAGAGCAUGCCUGUUUGAGUAUCAUGAAAUCUCAACCAUUAGGGUUUCUUAAUGGCUUGGAUUUGGGUGUUGCCAGUAGCCUGGCUCGCCUUAAAAGAGUUAGCGUGUUUAACUUGUCGUAUCUGGCGUAAUAAGUUUCGCUGGUGUUGACUUGAGAAGUGCGCUUCUAAUCGUCUUCGGACAAUUCUUGAACUCUGGUCUCAAAUCAGGUAGGACUACCCGCUGAACUUAAGCAUAUCA